rnacentral:rRNA from 1 species
GACGAACGCUGGCGGCGUGCCUAAUACAUGCAAGUAGAACGCUGAAGAGAGGAGCUUACUCUUCUUGGAUGAGUUGCGAACGGGUGAGUAACGCGUAGGUAACCUGCCUUGUAGCGGGGGAUAACUAUUGGAAACGAUAGCUAAUACCGCAUAACAAUGGAUGACACAUGUCAUUUAUUUGAAAGGGGCAAUUGCUCCACUACAAGAUGGACCUGCGUUGUAUUAGCUAGUAGGUGAGGUAAUGGCUCACCUAGGCGACGAUACAUAGCCGACCUGAGAGGGUGAUCGGCCACACUGGGACUGAGACACGGCCCAGACUCCUACGGGAGGCAGCAGUGGGGAAUCUUCGGCAAUGGGGGCAACCCUGACCGAGCAACGCCGCGUGAGUGAAGAAGGUUUUCGGAUCGUAAAGCUCUGUUGUAAGUCAAGAACGGGUGUGAGAGUGGAAAGUUCACACUGUGACGGUAGCUUACCAGAAAGGGACGGCUAACUACGUG